AUGACGAAACUUUGGAAAUCAAGGAAGAAAUCAUCCAAGAUCGAGAGUCUUCCUCAGAGAAAGCUACAAGAAAAAAUCGUCAUAAAAAAUUUGAGUUAAUUUUGUGUACUGCAGACAUGCGAGAAGAUGAUAUUGUGACUGUUAACAAAUCGUAUAGCCGAGCGAUGCCAAGAAUUCAGGAAUCAAAACAGGAAUCACAAAAGAAGUACACAUGCGAAAAGUGCGCCCGAAGUUAUGUACUGAAACAUGGUUUGGUAGCUCAUCAAAAAUAUGAUUGCAACGUCAUCCCUAGGUUCAAAUGCAAAUUCUGCAAAAAACGAUUCAAAAGGAAAUGUCAUAUGAGUAAACAUGUGAAUAGCGUUCAUCUUAAAACGAACUUUCAGGCAUCGAAAAUCAGGCAUCAAUGCGACAAAUGUUCCCGAAGUUACUCCUGGAUACAUGAUUUAAAUCGACAUAAACGUUUAGUACACGAAGCAAAAGUAUCAAAAGUAAUAUGCGAAUAUUGUGGUUUCAAAACUUAUUAUAAAAAAAACUUGGCAUAUCAUAUUACUACAUUUCAUCUCAAGAAAUGCAGUACAUAAAACUUUAAACCUAAGAAAAUUUCUACUAAAUAAUACGCUAUUUUAUAACGCGUAGUUUUUCUCACUCAAUCAGGAAAUGAAUCUCAAAAUUCCUAUUAUACUGUCCCUCGAUAUAAACUUUAAUUAAUUAUGGCGAAUUUUUGAUUGGUUGAUAGUGUGGAAAAAUACAAAUAUGAGAUAUUUUAGAUUGAGGACACACGGAAUUAAUGAAUACUUAAAAAGAAGCAUAUAUUUGUCAUGCUCACGUUCAAGAUUUACAAGUUGCCAUAUUAAUUUUUUGUUUUGGAAUUGUCGAGCUUGUUAGUAUCCUCUUUACUGAUCUUAGAAAGUUUUUUGGAGGUAUCACAGGUCAGGAUAGGUCUGCGAAAAGAACUAGAAAACCAAAAUUCAAUCCGAAAUGUCGAGCGGAAUCGUCUACUAAUGUCUGUAGACAAAAAACAGAAGAGCACAAUAUUAUUUCUGAAAUAAAUCAAUUGGACGAAAGACGUACAAUUACUGAUAUUUCUUCUGUCAAUUAUUUUGGCAUCAAGACUUCAAUUGAAUAAGACCAUGACGAAACUUUGGA